UCCCUAGGAAGAGUUCCUGCCGUGUCUUAGAGCCUGCCUGGCCACCAGAGCCUGUGAAGGUUGAACCCACUGGUGGCCAGCAGAGCGAAAGGAGGAGCCUCCAUUCCAGAAGGAACCGUCUGAUGGGAU
ensembl:snoRNA SNORD22 Small nucleolar RNA SNORD22